GAUGAACGCUGGCGGCGUGCCUAAUACAUGCAAGUCGAGCGAACAGAUAAGGAGCUUGCUCCUCUGACGUUAGCGGCGGACGGGUGAGUAACACGUGGGUAACCUACCUAUAAGACUGGGAUAACUUCGGGAAACCGGAGCUAAUACCGGAUAACAUAUAGAACCGCAUGGUUCUAAAGUGAAAGACGGUUUUGCUAUCACUUAUAGAUGGACCCGCGCCGUAUUAGCUAGUUGGUAAGGUAACGGCUUACCAAGGCGACGAUACGUAGCCGACCUGAGAGGGUGAUCGGCCACACUGGAACUGAGACACGGUCCAGACUCCUACGGGAGGCAGCAGUAGGGAAUCUUCCGCAAUGGGCGAAAGCCUGACGGAGCAACGCCGCGUGAGUGAUGAAGGGUUUCGGCUCGUAAAACUCUGUUAUUAGGGAAGAACAAAUGUGUAAGUAACUGUGCACAUCUUGACGGUACCUAAUCAGAAAGCCACGGCUAACUACGUG
rnacentral:rRNA from 1 species